rnacentral:rRNA from 1 species
AAUCCAUAGGUUAAUGAGGCGAACCGGGGGAACUGAAACAUCUAAGUACCCCGAGGAAAAGAAAUCAACCGAGAUUCCCCCAGUAGCGGCGAGCGAACGGGGAGGAGCCCAGAGCCUGAAUCAGCAUGUGUGUUAGUGGAAGCGUCUGGAAAGGCGCGCGAUACAGGGUGACAGCCCCGUACACAAAAGCGCAUGUGCUGUGAGCUCGAUGAGUAGGGCGGGACACGUGGUAUCCUGUCUGAAUAUGGGGGGACCAUCCUCCAAGGCUAAAUACUCCUGACUGACCGAUAGUGAACCAGUACCGUGAGGGAAAGGCGAAAAGAACCCCGGCGAGGGGAGUGAAAAAGAACCUGAAACCGUGUACGUACAAGCAGUGGGAGCCCCACCACCAAAGCAUUCUCUGGUGUUGAAGGCCCUGCAAAGCAGCAUCGCGGUGGCGGAGCGUCGUUUGCGACGCCCAACACACAAAACAAGCGGUGAGUGCUUUGGGGUGGGGUGACUGCGUACCUUUUGUAUAAUGGGUCAGCGACUUAUAUUCUGUAGCAAGGUUAACCGAAUAGGGGAGCCGGAGGGAAACCGAGUCUUAAUUGGGCGUUAAGUUGCAGGGUAUAGACCCGAAACCCGGUGAUCUAGCCAUGGGCAGGUUGAAGGUUGGGUAACACUAACUGGAGGACCGAACCGACUAAUGUUGAAAAAUUAGCGGAUGACCUGUGGCUGGGGGUGAAAGGCCAAUCAAACCGGGAGAUAGCUGGUUCUCCCCGAAAGCUAUUUAGGUAGCGCCUCGUGAAUUCAUCUCCGGGGGUAGAGCACUGUUUCGGCUAGGGGGCCAUCCCGGCUUACCAACCCGAUGCAAACUGCGAAUACCGGAGAAUGUUAUCACGGGAGACACACGGCGGGUGCUAACGUCCGUCGUGAAGAGGGAAACAACCCAGACCGCCAGCUAAGGUCCCAAAGUCAUGGUUAAGUGGGAAACGAUGUGGGAAGGCCCAGACAGCCAGGAUGUUGGCUUAGAAGCAGCCAUCAUUUAAAGAAAGCGUAAUAGCUCACUGGUCGAGUCGGCCUGCGCGGAAGAUGUAACGGGGCUAAACCAUGCACCGAAGCUGCGGCAGCGAACGUAUCACUUAAAGCGAUUCAGCGGGUUACGAUUGACGGAGCGAAGCGACGUCAAAGCGUAUACAAAGUCGAGUCGGUUUAAGGAUACGUUCGUUGGGUAGGGGAGCGUUCUGUAAGCCUGUGAAGGUGUGUCGUGAGGCAUGCUGGAGGUAUCAGAAGUGCGAAUGCUGACAUAAGUAACGAUAAAGCGGGUGAAAAGCCCGCUCGCCGGAAGACCAAGGGUUCCUGUCCAACGUUAAUCGGGGCAGGGUGAGUCGACCCCUAAGGCGAGGCCGAAAGGCGUAGUCGAUGGGAAACGGGUUAAUAUUCCCGUACUUGGUGUUACUGCGAAGGGGGGACGGAGAAGGCUAUGUUGGCCGGGCGACGGUUGUCCCGGUUUAAGCGUGUAGGUGUGUGUUCCAGGUAAAUCCGGUUCACUUUAACACUGAGGCGUGAUGACGAGGCACUACGGUGCUGAAGCAACAAAUGCCCUGCUUCCAGGAAAAGCCUCUAAGCAUCAGGUAACAUCAAAUCGUACCCCAAACCGACACAGGUGGUCAGGUAGAGAAUACCAAGGCGCUUGAGAGAACUCGGGUGAAGGAACUAGGCAAAAUGGUGCCGUAACUUCGGGAGAAGGCACGCUGACAUGUAGGUGAAGUGAUUUACUCAUGGAGCUGAAGUCAGUCGAAGAUACCAGCUGGCUGCAACUGUUUAUUAAAAACACAGCACUGUGCAAACACGAAAGUGGACGUAUACGGUGUGACGCCUGCCCGGUGCCGGAAGGUUAAUUGAUGGGGUCAGCGCAAGCGAAGCUCCUGAUCGAAGCCCCGGUAAACGGCGGCCGUAACUAUAACGGUCCUAAGGUAGCGAAAUUCCUUGUCGGGUAAGUUCCGACCUGCACGAAUGGCGUAAUGAUGGCCAGGCUGUCUCCACCCGAGACUCAGUGAAAUUGAACUCGCUGUGAAGAUGCAGUGUACCCGCGGCAAGACGGAAAGACCCCGUGAACCUUUACUAUAGCUUGACACUGAACAUUGAGCCUUGAUGUGUAGGAUAGGUGGGAGGCUUUGAAGCGUGGACGCCAGUCUGCGUGGAGCCGACCUUGAAAUACCACCCUUUAAUGUUUGAUGUUCUAACGUGGACCCGU